AACGCCUCCUGGGGUUGUCAAUAUGGCUGCGUUGGGAUCUGUUCACCUUCAGGCUGAGUCGAGACUGAGGUGAAAAAGCGGAAAAACGCGAGAAAAGGUUUCCCCGUUGUACAGAGGCUAGAGUGAGGCUCGGUUGAAUCGGUUGCAGGCGUUGGUGCCUCUGUCAGCGUCCAGGUCACUGCCGCUCCCGCCCCGCUCUUCCCUGGCUGUGCUGGCGGAGGCUGCGCCGAUGAACCUGACUGAGGUUGUUGGCAUGGAGCCAAGGAUGAGGAGGCACCUUCCAAGCAAUGUGUUUCUGUAGGAGUGUCACAGGUCACAACUUUAAAGCCAGCUUUGUCCACCCAGAAGGCCCAGCCCUGUGAGACAUGUAGCUCACUUCUGAAGGACAUUCUACACCUGGCUGAGCAUGACGGAACACACCCCAAGCGUACAG
rnacentral:lncRNA from 1 species